AGCGUACACGGUGGAUGCCCUGGCAGUCAGAGGCGAUGAAGGACGUGCUAAUCUGCGAAAAGCGUCGGUAAGGUGAUAUGAACCGUUAUAACCGGCGAUGUCCGAAUGGGGAAACCCAGUGCGAUUCGUUGCACUAUCGUUAACUGAAUACAUAGGUUAACGAGGCGAACCGGGGGAACUGAAACAUCUAAGUACCCCGAGGAAAAGAAAUCAACCGAGAUUCCCCCAGUAGCGGCGAGCGAACGGGGAGCAGCCCAGAGUCUGAAUCAGCUUGUGUGUUAGUGGAACGGUCUGGAAAGUCCGACGGUACAGGGUGAUAGUCCCGUACACCAAAAUGCACAGGUUGUGAACUCGAAGAGUAGGGCGGGACACGUGGUAUCCUGUCUGAAUAUGGGGGGACCAUCCUCCAAGGCUAAAUACUCCUGACUGACCGAUAGUGAACCAGUACCGUGAGGGAAAGGCGAAAAGAACCCCGGCGAGGGGAGUGAAAAAGAACCUGAAACCGUGUACGUACAAGCAGUGGGAGCACCUUCGGGUGUGACUGCGUACCUUUUGUAUAAUGGGUCAGCGACUUAUAUUCUGUAGCAAGGUUAACCGUAUAGGGGAGCCGCAGGGAAACCGAGUCUUAACUGGGCGUUAAGUUGCAGGGUAUAGACCCGAAACCCGGUGAUCUAGCCAUGGGCAGGUUGAAGGUUGGGUAACACUAACUGGAGGACCGAACCGACUAAUGUUGAAAAAUUAGCGGAUGACUUGUGGCUGGGGGUGAAAGGCCAAUCAAACCGGGAGAUAGCUGGUUCUCCCCGAAAGCUAUUUAGGUAGCGCCUCGUGAAUUCAUCUUCGGGGGUAGAGCACUGUUUCGGCUAGGGGGUCAUCCCGACUUACCAACCCGAUGCAAACUACGAAUACCGAAGAAUGUUAUCACGGGAGACACACGGCGGGUGCUAACGUCCGUCGUGAAGAGGGAAACAACCCAGACCGCCAGCUAAGGUCCCAAAGUCAUGGUUAAGUGGGAAACGAUGUGGGAAGGCACAGACAGCCAGGAUGUUGGCUUAGAAGCAGCCAUCAUUUAAAGAAAGCGUAAUAGCUCACUGGUCGAGUCGGCCUGCGCGGAAGAUGUAACGGGGCUAAACCAUGCACCGAAGCUGCGGCAGCGACACUAUGUGUUGUUGGGUAGGGGAGCGUUCUGUAAGCCUGCGAAGGUGUGCUGUGAGGCAUGCUGGAGGUAUCAGAAGUGCGAAUGCUGACAUAAGUAACGAUAAAGCGGGUGAAAAGCCCGCUCGCCGGAAGACCAAGGGUUCCUGUCCAACGUUAAUCGGGGCAGGGUGAGUCGACCCCUAAGGCGAGGCCGAAAGGCGUAGUCGAUGGGAAACAGGUUAAUAUUCCUGUACUUGGUGUUACUGCGAAGGGGGGACGGAGAAGGCUAUGUUAGCCGGGCGACGGUUGUCCCGGUUUAAGCAUGUAGGCUGGUUAUCCAGGCAAAUCCGGAUAAUCAAGGCUGAGGUGUGAUGACGAGGCACUACGGUGCUGAAGUAACAAAUGCCCUGCUUCCAGGAAAAGCCUCUAAGCAUCAGGUAACAUCAAAUCGUACCCCAAACCGACACAGGUGGUCAGGUAGAGAAUACCAAGGCGCUUGAGAGAACUCGGGUGAAGGAACUAGGCAAAAUGGUGCCGUAACUUCGGGAGAAGGCACGCUGGUGUGUAGGUGAAGCCCCUGCGGGUGGAGCUGAGACCAGUCGAAGAUACCAGCUGGCUGCAACUGUUUAUUAAAAACACAGCACUGUGCAAACACGAAAGUGGACGUAUACGGUGUGACGCCUGCCCGGUGCCGGAAGGUUAAUUGAUGGGGUUAUCCGUAAGGAGAAGCUCUUGAUCGAAGCCCCGGUAAACGGCGGCCGUAACUAUAACGGUCCUAAGGUAGCGAAAUUCCUUGUCGGGUAAGUUCCGACCUGCACGAAUGGCGUAAUGAUGGCCAGGCUGUCUCCACCCGAGACUCAGUGAAAUUGAACUCGCUGUGAAGAUGCAGUGUACCCGCGGCAAGACGGAAAGACCCCGUGAACCUUUACUAUAGCUUGACACUGAACAUUGAGCCUUGAUGUGUAGGAUAGGUGGGAGGCUUUGAAGCGUGGACGCCAGUCUGCGUGGAGCCAACCUUGAAAUACCACCCUUUAAUGUUUGAUGUUCUAACGUUGGCCCCUUAUCGGGGUUGCGGACAGUGUCUGGUGGGUAGUUUGACUGGGGCGGUCUCCUCCCAAAGCGUAACGGAGGAGCACGAAGGUUAGCUAAUCCUGGUCGGACAUCAGGAGGUUAGUGCAAUGGCAUAAGCUAGCUUGACUGCGAGCGUGACGGCGCGAGCAGGUGCGAAAGCAGGUCAUAGUGAUCCGGUGGUUCUGAAUGGAAGGGCCAUCGCUCAACGGAUAAAAGGUACUCCGGGGAUAACAGGCUGAUACCGCCCAAGAGUUCAUAUCGACGGCGGUGUUUGGCACCUCGAUGUCGGCUCAUCACAUCCUGGGGCUGAAGUAGGUCCCAAGGGUAUGGCUGUUCGCCAUUUAAAGUGGUACGCGAGCUGGGUUUAGAACGUCGUGAGACAGUUCGGUCCCUAUCUGCCGUGGGCGCUGGAGAAUUGAGGGGGGCUGCUCCUAGUACGAGAGGACCGGAGUGGACGCAUCACUGGUGUUCGGGUUGUCAUGCCAAUGGCACUGCCCGGUAGCUAAAUGCGGAAGAGAUAAGUGCUGAAAGCAUCUAAGCACGAAACUUGCCCCGAGAUGAGUUCU
rnacentral:rRNA from 1 species